rnacentral:rRNA from 1 species
UACGGAGGGUGCAAGCGUUAUCCGGAUUCACUGGGUUUAAAGGGUGCGUAGGUGGGCAGGUAAGUCAGUGGUGAAAUCUCCGGGCUUAACCCGGAAACUGCCAUUGAUACUAUCUGUCUUGAAUUUCCUGGAGGUAAGCGGAAUAUGUCAUGUAGCGGUGAAAUGCUUAGAUAUGACAUAGAACACCAAUUGCGAAGGCAGCUUACUACGGGAAUAUUGACACUGAGGCACGAAAGCGUGGGGAUCAAACAGG